ensembl:lncRNA
GCCUCACCUCCACAUGUCAAACGAGCCUGUGUCUUGUUGACUUUCUGUGUAUGCAGGAGCUGCUGCCUCACACUGGAGCAGACUGGACUCUGAUCUCUCAUAAAGGUAGUGUCUGCCCAGCAAUAUCCUGCCCUGAAGAAGAGGAGCUCCCAGGUCUUGCCAAGUGUCAAACGUGGAGAACUCAUCUCAUGGAGACCAGACUACACAGCAGCUUCCAUGCGUGGGUGUUCCCACUAAGUCCUUCUUACAGGCAAUCCGAAUUCAGCUGUUCACACAGGCAGAGUUGUGGAGGAAUUGCUGUCUAACCGAUCCUUUGUGGACUUCCUACCAAAACCAUCCAGUGCAGCAUCUGGUAAGUCAUUCAGCUUUUUAUAAACUCAGAGGCUCAACUACAGCUAUUUAUGGGUGGAAACUGGCAUA